ensembl:lncRNA
GCAUAUUAAACAUUUUCCUGUCCUGCUACUUGUCUAUAGCUACUUUGUUGUUGUCUGUUUGCUUGAUCAAUGUUAGUUGAUUUGUUUAGUAACAUUUUGUUACAGAAAAGGUCAGUGUGUGUGUGUGUUGAGAUUCCUGCAUCAGCUCCCACACGCAAGACUAAGAUUAAGAGUGUGGGAUAAGCCAGGAUAUGUCCGGGUCGUCUGAGCUUAUAUCUCCGAGACUGGGGGUGGGGCUCAAAUCAUCAUCUGAGUCUGACAGCGACCGUCUCCGAGAACUCAUCUCCACAGCAACCAUUGCCUCCGAAGGAUCUUGGAAAAGACAACAGGAGGUGUGUCGAGUCUGUCUUUCAGAAUAAGGCCUCUCACUUCAUCCUUCAAUCCAGAUACUGUAAGUCUACCACACACAUACAUACACA